rnacentral:rRNA from 1 species
AUUGAACGCUGGCGGCAGGCUUAACACAUGCAAGCCGAGCGGAGAGAGGUAGCUUGCUACCGAUCUUAGCGGCGGACGGGUGAGUAAUGCUUAGGAAUCUGCCUAUUAGUGGGGGACAACAUUUCGAAAGGAAUGCUAAUACCGCAUACGUCCUACGGGAGAAAGCAGGGGAUCUUCGGACCUUGCGCUAAUAGAUGAGCCUAAGUCGGAUUAGCUAGUUGUUGGGGUAAAGGCCUACCAAGGCGACGAUCUGUAGCGGGUCUGAGAGGAUGAUCCGCCACACUGGGACUGGGACACGGCCCAGACUCCUACGGGAGGCAGCAGUGGGGAGUAUUGGACAAUGGGUGCAAGCCUGAUCCAGCCAUGCCGCGUGUGUGAAGAAGGCCUUAUGGUUGUAAAGCACUUUAAGCGAGGAGGAGGCUACUUUAGUUAAUACCUAGAGAUAGUGGACGUUACUCGCAGAAUAAGCACCGGCUAACUCUGUGCCAGCAGCCGCCGUAAAAC